UGUGAACAUAUACACAUAAAGUUAACUUUUUUAAAACAAGAUUCGCAAAAGUCGAAGACUUUUAGGUAGUAGUUACACAUCACUCACAUUCCUCACUUUCCGUACUCAGAUUUGCUUCACUUCACCGACUCUUCUUCCCCACAACAACAAUGGAAGAUACCCAACUUAUAUCCACACAAAGAUUGGUGUUUGCUGUGAAUGGUGAGCGUUUUGAGCUCUCUGAAGUGGACCCUUCAACCACUCUGCUUCAGUUCUUGCGGUCUCAUACUCGUUUCAAGAGUGUUAAGCUUGGUUGCGGUGAAGGUGGUUGUGGAGCUUGUAAUGUUUUACUGUCCAAGUUCAAUCCCAAGCUCAAACAAGUCGAAGAUUACACAAUCAGUUCAUGUCUCACACUUCUUUGCAGCAUAAACGCGUGUUCAAUCACAUCAACCGAAGGUCUCGGCAACAUCAAAGACGGGUUUCAUCCCAUUCACGAACGUUUCGCUGGUUUCCACGCGUCUCAAUGCGGUUUCUGCACCCCUGGGAUGUGCAUGUCACUCUUUUCCGCGCUCGUUAACUCAGAAAAAACUCAUCGGCCCGAACCCGCUCUCGGUUUCUCCAAACUCACCGUCUCCGAAGCCGAAAAAUCGAUUUCCGGUAAUCUAUGUCGAUGCACGGGUUACCGUCCGAUCGCUGACGUAUGCAAAAGUUUCGCAGCCGAUGUCGAUAUGGAAGAUUUGGGACUUAACUCAUUCCGUAAAAAUGAUACCAAACUUCAUAAACUGCCAUUCUAUGAUUCGAAACAGAUAACUACGUAUCCCGAGUUCUUGAAAAACGAAUACGAAUCGACAACAGUUUUAAAUAAUCGAAACAAGUCUUGGUAUAGUCCACGUUCGAUAGAGGAACUCACGAGUUUGGUGGAAUACAACUCUGCUGACAACGGUGUAAUGGUAAAACUAGUUGCUGGUAAUACUGGAGCCGGUUAUUAUAAGGAAACCGAUCAGUAUGACACGUACAUUGACCUUCGGUUUAUUCCGGAACUUUCCACAAUCAAGAAAGCCGGCUCGCAUAUUGAAGUCGGAGCGACUGUUUCGAUCUCAAAAUUAAUCUUGGCUUUAAACGAAGAAAUAAAUGAUGAUACGGUGUUCAAGAAAAUCGCAUCCCAUUUGGAGAAAAUUGGUUCUGAAUCCAUCCGGAAUGUAGCGAGUAUAGGCGGAAAUUUGGUAAUGGCGCAAAGAAAGAAUUUUCCUUCCGAUAUUGCUACGGUACUUCUUGCGGUGAAGUCGAAAGUUACCAUCUUGACGGGGGUAAAAAAGGAAAUUCUUACACUUGAGGAGUUUCUUGAAAAGCCUGCAUUAGAUUCAAGAACCGUGCUUUUGAGUGUGUUCGUUCCGUACCCGAAACCAACCAAAAACGGAUACUCGGAAAAAGCGAACGCUAAAGUUAUAUUUCAAACUUAUCGUGCUUCUUCACGUCCUCUUGGAAACGCAUUAGCUUAUUUAAACGCUGCGUUUUUGGCUGAAACGUCUGUAUGUGAUAGAGGCGUUAGAAUUAACAGUGUUCGUCUUGCUUUUGGUUCUUUUGGCGUUAAACACGCGAUAAGCGCAAGCACAGUUGAAAACUAUCUUGUUGGGAAAAUGUUAAGUGUUGAUGUGAUAUAUGAAGCGGUUAAAUUAAUAAGGUUUGCGGUUUCUCCUGAAAGUGGGACGUCACAUUCCGCUUAUCGGUCAAGCUUGGCGGUUGGUUUUCUGUUUGACUUUCUCUGGCCGAUAGUUGAAGCUGAUGGUUGCGUGCGUACAUCGACUUGUAAUUCUUACGGAAUUACGUCAAGAAUGGCGUUUGAUCGUUCUGAAACGACGACAUUGUUGUCAUCGGCAAAGCAGGUGAUAGAAUCGAGCAGCGAACAUUAUCCUGUUGGUGAAGCGAUUGUAAAGUCUGGUUCUGCAAUCCAAGCUUCGGGUGAAGCGAUAUUUGUAGAUGACAUUCCUUCACCGUUGAACUGCCUUCACGGAGCAUUUAUCUACAGCACCAAACCGUUGGCACGGGUAAAGCGUAUUAAAUUAAACUCCAAAAAAGACGUACAUUCCGUCGUUACAUUUCAAGAUAUUCCAAAAGGAGGUGAUAAUAUAGGAUCCAAGACCCUUUUCGGUCCGGAACCGUUAUUUGCCGAUGAACUUACUCAGUGUGCAGGCCAGCGUAUAGCGUUUGCGGUUGCAAAUACACAAAAGAUUGCUGAUGUGCUAGCCGAUACAGCCAUGGUUGAUUAUGAUAUGGAAGACUUGGAACCACCUAUAUUAACCGUUGAACAGGCGGUCGAGAAAUCGAGUUUUUUUGAAAUACCGUCAUUCUUAUAUCCGUCACAUGUUGGUGAUUUCUCCAAGGGAAUGGCUGAAUCUGAACACCAAAUCCACUCUGCUGAGAUUCAACUUCCGUCACAAUACUAUUUCUAUAUGGAAACGCAAACCGCAUUAGCUGUCCCAGAUGAAGACAACUGCAUGGUGGUGUAUAGUUCCAUUCAGGUCCCUGAAUAUGCGCAAAGUGUCAUAGCACGGUGUCUUAACGUUCCCGAACAUAACGUUCGUGUGAUUACUAGAAGGGUUGGUGGCGGUUUUGGUGGCAAGGCUCUUAAAGCUAUGCCCGUUGCGACAGCAUGUGCGCUUGCAGCAUACAGAUUACGCCGUCCUGUGCGAACGUACACGAACCGGAAAACCGACAUGAUAAUGGCAGGAGGAAGACAUCCCAUGAAGAUAAAAUACACCAUCGGGUUCAAAUCAAACGGAAAGAUCACAGCCCUACAUCUUGAUAUUCUAAUAAACGCCGGUAUGUCACCCGAUAUUAGCCCCGUGUUACCAUGGAACAUGUUGUGUGCACUAAAAAAAUACAAUUUCGGUGCAUUAUCAUUCGACUUUAAAGUAUGUAAAACGAACCAUUCUAGUAAAUCCGCAAUGCGGGCCCCAGGAGAAGUGCAAGCAUCUUUUAUCGCCGAAGCGGUUAUAGAACACAUCGCGAGUUAUCUUUCGUUAGAUGCCGGUCUUGUCAGGGAAAUGAACUUUCAUAGUUAUGAUAGUCUUCGGUUAUUUUAUGGCGUUGGUGCCGGUGAGCCUUUAGAGUAUACUUUACCAACCAUAUGGGAUAAGUUAAUGAAAUCCUCAAACUUUGACUAUAGAGUUGAAACCGUCAACACGUUUAAUAAAAACAAUUUAUGGCGAAAAAAGGGUAUUUCUCGGAUUCCCAUUUUGCACGAGGUGUCGUUGAGGCCGACACCUGGCAAAGUGAGUAUAUUACGGGAUGGUUCGGUUGUGGUGGAAGUCGGUGGUAUUGAGUUGGGUCAAGGGCUAUGGACCAAGGUUAAACAAAUGACCGCUUAUUGUCUAAGUGCGGUUCAGUGUGACGGAACUGAUACGCUCUUGGACAAGGUUCGGGUCAUACAAGCGGACACUUUGAGUAUGGUUCAAGGUGGGUUCACUGCCGGAAGUACAACUUCCGAAGCGAGUUGCGAAGCGGUCAGACUUUGUUGCAGCGUUUUGGUUGAAAGACUCGUUUCGUUGAAGGAAAAGCUAAAAGAACAAUCGGGUUCGGUCGAUUGGGAUUUACUUAUUAUGCAGGCGAAUAUGUACUCGAUAAAUUUAUCUGCAAGUUCAUUUUUUGUACCGGAGUUUACGUCUAUGAGAUACAUUAACUAUGGAGCUGCAGUUAGUGAGGUGGAAGUAAAUCUUCUGACCGGAGAGACCAAAAUCUUGCAAACCGACAUCGUAUAUGAUUGUGGACAGAGCUUGAAUCCCGCCGUGGAUUUGGGACAGAUCGAAGGGGCUUUCGUACAAGGGAUCGGGUUUUUCAUGCUUGAAGAAUAUCUUACAAAUUCCGAUGGCAUGGUGGUUGUGGAUGGCACAUGGACGUACAAGAUACCGACGAUCGACACCAUACCUAAACAACUAAACGUGCAAAUACUAAACAGCGGGCAUCAUAAAAAGCGCGUGCUAUCUUCAAAAGCUUCGGGUGAGCCACCGUUACUUCUUGCGGCUUCGGUUCAUUGUGCGACUAGAGCCGCCAUUAAAGAAGCGAGAAAGCAACUGUGUUCUUGGAAGCGGUUAGAUGGUUCUGAUCCGAUGUUUCAGUUAGAUGUUCCUGCUACCAUGCCGGUGGUGAAAACGCUUUGUGGGCUCGAUAACGUCGAGUUUUACCUUCAGAGUUUGUUGUCUAGUUCAUGAAAAUGAAAAUGGUAAGGAUGUUGAUAUUGAUCUUGUUGCUUUAAGACAUGGGAUUUGCCAUGGAGAAGAGGUAUUGAUGAUGGGAAAUGAACUCAAUGAGAACUGAUGAGUUCAACAAUCAUCAAUGGAAGAAUGGUCAAGAUCAAACUGGUCAAUCGCUUCUAGUGACAUAAGCAAGUUUAAUUUAGUUUUAAUUCAUGCAGGUGUGCCAUGACAGUGAUUAUGGGUGAUGGACGUAAUGUGAUGCUUUGAUGGCGGAGACAUAAAUGAGUCAAGCCAUUGCAUUAAGUUCUAUUAUAUAUUGUUGGUUGAGACGAACGUCACCCACGGUCUAAAGGAGCAUUGGUUCGUCAAAUGUAAUUCAAAGGGGGUGGCGACUGGUGGAAUUGCAAUUUAGAACCAGUUUGCGGUUGUUUGGUUCAUGGUCGCACUUAAAAAGGUUAGCGUCGGUUUGGAGGUUUGCAACAUUCUCAGAAUGUCUCGUAUUUGUGAUGACGGGCUCUGGAUGGCUAGUGUGAUGGUCCGAGUUCCGGUUGGGCAAAUGUGGCUUAGACACAUAAGUUGAUUUAGAUUGUCACAUUGGUUCAUUCAGGGAUUGGUUGCCAAAAAAAAAAAAAAAAAACCCGGCAGCUGCGACAAAAGAAAAAAAAAACUAAACCUUCAAUCUUCA